rnacentral:rRNA from 1 species
GAUGAACGCUAGCGGGAGGCCUAACACAUGCAAGCCGAGCGGUAGUGUUUCUUCGGAAACUUGAGAGCGGCGCACGGGUGCGUAGCACGUGUGCAACCUACCUUUAUCUGGGGGAUAGCCUUUCGAAAGGAAGAUUAAUACCCCAUAAUAUAAUGAUUGGCAUCAAUUAUUAUUGAAAACUCCGGUGGAUAGAGAUGGGCACGCGCAAGAUUAGAUAGUUGGUGAGGUAACGGCUCACCAAGUCAAUGAUCUUUAGGGGUCCUGAGAGGGAGAUCCCCCACACUGGUACUGAGACACGGACCAGACUCCUACGGGAGGCAGCAGUGAGGAAUAUUGAACAAUGGGUGAGAGCCUGAUCCAGCCAUCCCGCGUGAAGGAUGACGGUCCUAUGGAUUGUAAACUUCUUUUGUACAGGGAUAAACCUACCCUCGUGAGGGUAGCUGAAGGUACUGUACGAAUAAGCACCGGCUAACUCCGUG